UAUUAUUAUACAUGUAAAUAUAGAAUGCCUGAGUAGUAAUAGAUAUGGUCUUGAAACUCAAAGAAUUUGGCGGUGUCAUAGUCUUUUCAGAGGAAUCUGUCCUGUAAUCGUCAGUACACGAAUUGUUUUACUUUAUCUGGUGAUCAGCUUGUAUACCGCCGUCAUAAGAUUAUCUUAUAGAGAGGUUUAAUUUUCUUUAUAUUUUAUUAGAUAGGAUGUCAGGUCAAGGUGCAGCUUAUGGUAGAGAAGAGAUGGGUUACAAUAAUGUUAGUUAUAUGAAUUAUUAGUGUAAGAUUUAUAUGAAGGUGGAUUUGAUUGUAAAGUUGUUUAGUAGUGAGUUGAUUAUAGCUCUAUGAUGUGCACACAUCGCCCGUCGCUCUCGUUAUAAUAUGAG
rnacentral:rRNA from 1 species